rnacentral:rRNA from 1 species
GACGAACGCUGACGGCGUGCUUAACACAUGCAAGUCGAACGAUGAACCCGGAGCUUGCUCCGGUGGGUUAGUGGCGAACGGGUGAGUAACACGUGAGUAACCUGCCCUUGACUCUGGGAUAACUGCGGGAAACUGUAGCUAAUACCGGAUACGACCCUCGGCGGCAUCGCCAGGGGGUGGAAAGAAUUUCGGUCAAGGAUGGACUCGCGGCCUAUCAGCUAGUUGGUGAGGUAACGGCUCACCAAGGCGACGACGGGUAGCCGGCCUGAGAGGGUGACCGGCCACACUGGGACUGAGACACGGCCCAGACUCCUACGGGAGGCAGCAGUGGGGAAUAUUGCACAAUGGGCGCAAGCCUGAUGCAGCAGCGCCGCGUGAGGGAUGACGGCCUUCGGGUUGUAAACCUCUUUUAGUAGGGAAGAAGCGAAAGUGACGGUACCUGCAGAAAAAGCACCGGCUAACUACGUGCCAGCAGCCGCAGUAA